UACGGAGGGUGCAAGCGUUGUCCGGAAUCACUGGGCGUAAAGGGCGCGUAGGCGGCUCAUGAAGGCUGUGGUGAAAGUCCGGGGCUCAACCUCGGAUCGGCCGUGGCGACUCGUGGGCUGGAGCACUGUAGAGGCGGGUGGAAUUCCGGGUGUAGCGGUGGAAUGCGUAGAGAUCCGGAAGAACACCAGUGGCGAAGGCGGCCCGCUGGGCAGUGGCUGACGCUGAGGCACGAAAGCUAGGGGAGCAAACAGG
rnacentral:rRNA from 1 species